rnacentral:lncRNA from 1 species
GUUGCCCAAGUGCCUGGAACCUGAAACCAAUCUGGUUACAAAGGGAAUAUAAGAACACAGCCAGACCUGAGUUUGUAACGUUAUGAAAUGGACCUUCUGCAAUUUGUUUAUCUUUCCUUCUGUCUGGAUACCGUCCUUACUACAAUGGAUUGCUUCAUUCAGUGCCAUUCUUAGAAGAAAAGCUCAAAGGUUUAAAAGGGAAAUCAGUUGUUGAAUCCGAUCUAUAUGAUUUAGCCCAAGGACUUGAAGGACGUUCACUGAACCCUGUUGCUGUUCUGUUUGAUCAUAUGUUACACCCAGAUGCUGAUCAUGGCGCACUAAAUCCCUCUCUGCUGACAUGGGUAUAUGACAGACAGCAUGAAAUCCCACACCUUGUUCUAGGAAAAUGGUCACCCGGUGGUUCA